rnacentral:rRNA from 1 species
UGGGGAAUCUUGCACAAUGGGGGAAACCCUGAUGCAGCGACGCCGCGUGAACGAUGAAGCCCUUCGGGGUGUAAAGUUCUUUCGACAGGAACGAUAAUGACGGUACCUGGAGAAGAAGCUGCGGCUAACUACGUGCCAGCAGCCGCGGUAAUACGUAGGCAGCGAGCGUUGUUCGGAGUUACUGGGCGUAAAGAGUGCGUAGGCGGCGAGCCAAGUUUGGUGUGAAAUCUCCCGGCUUAACCGGGAGGGUGCGCCGAAAACUGGUUGGCUGGAGUAUGGGAGAGGAAAGCGGAAUUCCUGAUGUAGCGGUGAAAUGCGUAGAUAUCAGGAGGAACACCUGCGGUGUAGACAGCUUUCUGGACCAAAACUGACGCUGAGGCACGAAAGCGUGCGUAGCAAACA